rnacentral:rRNA from 1 species
AUUGAACGCUGGCGGCAGGCCUAACACAUGCAAGUCGAGCGAGCGGCGGACGGGUGAGUAAUGUAUGGGGACUGCCCGAUAGAGGGGGAUAACUAGUGGAAACGGUGGCUAAUACCGCAUACUAUCGGGUACCCCAUAUGGGAUUAGCUAGUAGGUGGGGGAAAGGCUCACCUAGGCGACGAUCUCUAGAUGGUCUGAGAGGAGGAUCAGAAAAACGGGGACUAAGACACGGCCCAGACUCCCGGGGAGGCAGAAGUGGGGAAUAUUGCACAAUGGGCGCAAGCUGGAUGAAGCCAUGCCGCGUAUAUGAAGAAGGACGUAGGGUUGUAAAGUACUUUCAGCCGGGAGGCGUUACCCACAGAAGAAGCACCGGCUAACUCCGUGCCAGCAGCCGCGGUAAUAC